rnacentral:sRNA from 1 species
CGAGGUCUGCGGUGCUGUCGGGCUUUAUAUUUCCUUGAACCAAUGCUCCCUAAGCUCGGGCUUGGUAAUUGCCUGGUGAGCGUGAUCGUCUCGCGUCAGAUGAACCCAACGUCAGGCUGCCCUCGCCCCCCUGAACCCCCGGUUCAGGAUGCCGGUCCGGUGGCAUUCGCAGACACCUU